GCAACACAUACAUCCACUAAAAUAUUAGUUACAGCAAUGGAAGAGUGCACAGGGAAAAGUUCAUGGCCGGAAUUGGUAGGAGUAAAUGGAAACAAGGCGGUGACUAUUAUUGAAAAGGAGAAUCCGAACGUAGAAGCUAUUACUGUGUUGAUUGGAAGCGCUACCACCAAAGACUUCCGCUGUGACAGGGUGCGGGUGUGGGUCGACGAGUAUGGCAUUGUCGGAGAGGUUCCUCACAUCGGCUAGAUGGAUGUUAAA